rnacentral:rRNA from 1 species
UACGUAGGUGACAAGCGUUGUCCGGAUUUACUGGGCGUAAAGAGCGCGCAGGCGGUCGAUCAAGUCGAGUGUGAAAGCCCCCCGGCUCAACUGGGGGAGGGUCAUUCGAUACUGAUCGACUCGAAGGCAGGAGAGGGUAGUGGAAUUCCCGGUGUAGUGGUGAAAUGCGUAGAUAUCUGGAGGAACACCGGUGGCGAAGGCGACGCCUGGACCGGCAUUGACGCUGAGGCGCGAAAGCCAGGGGAGCAAACGGG